GUUAAAAGCAAAGUGAGUGCAUCGGCAAGAAAAUCGCUGAUUUGCUUUUAACUUUUUGUUAUCUGGAGGGCGCUUUUCUUGCCGAUGCAUUCACUUUGCUUUUA